UCAAGUAAUUAAGUGCAUGUGGUGGAUGCCUUGGCAGUCAGAGGCGAUGAAAGACGUGAUAGCCUGCGAAAAGCUCCGGGGAGGCGGCAAAUAUCCUUUGAUCCGGAGAUGUCUGAAUGGGGGAACCCACCUACUUUAAGGUAGGUAUUGCAACAUGAAUACAUAGUGUUGCAAGGCGAACGAGGGGAAGUGAAACAUCUCAGUACCCUUAGGAAAAGAAAUCAAUUGAGAUUCCCUCAGUAGCGGCGAGCGAACGGGGAUCAGCCCAUUAAGUUAUGUGUGUUUUAGUGGAACGCUCUGGGAAGUGCGAACGUAGAGGGUGAUAUUCCCGUACACGAAAGGGCACACAUAAUGAUGACGAGUAGGGCGAGGCACGUGAAACCUUGUCUGAAUAUGGGGGGACCAUCCUCCAAGGCUAAAUACUCCUGACUGACCGAUAGUGAACCAGUACCGUGAGGGAAAGGCGAAAAGAACCCCUGUGAGGGGAGUGAAAUAGAUCCUGAAACCGCAUGCAUACAAGCAGUGGGAGCACCUUCGUGGUGUGACUGCGUACCUUUUGUAUAAUGGGUCAGCGACUUAUAUUCAGUAGCAAGGUUAACCGUAUAGGGGAGCCGUAGAGAAAUCGAGUCUUAAUAGGGCGUUUAGUUGCUGGGUAUAGACCCGAAACCAGGCGAUCUAUCCAUGAGCAGGUUGAAGGUUGGGUAACACUAACUGGAGGACCGAACCCACUGUCGUUGAAAAGCCAGGGGAUGACUUGUGGAUAGGGGUGAAAGGCUAAUCAAGCCUGGUGAUAGCUGGUUCUCCCCGAAAGCUAUUUAGGUAGCGCCUCGGACGAAUACCAUAGGGGGUAGAGCACUGUUUCGGCUAGGGGGUCAUCCCGACUUACCAAACCGAUGCAAACUCCGAAUACCUAUGAGUACUAUCCGGGAGACAGACUGCGGGUGCUAACGUCCGUAGUCAAGAGGAAAACAAUCCAGACCGCCAGCUAAGGCCCCAAAAUCAUAGUUAAGUGGGAAACGAUGUGGGAAGGCAUAGACAGCUAGGAGGUUGGCUUAGAAGCAGCCACCCUUUAAAGAAAGCGUAAUAGCUCACUAGUCGAGUCGGCCUGCGCGGAAGAUGUAACGGGGCUAAAACUAUGUGCCGAAGCUGCGGAUUUGACAUUAGUCAAGUGGUAGGGGAGCGUUCUGUAAGCCGAUGAAGGUGUAUUGAGAAGUAUGCUGGAGGUAUCAGAAGUGCGAAUGCUGACGUGAGUAACGACAAAACGGUGAAAAACCCGUUCGCCGAAAGACCAAGGGUUCCAGUCCAACGUUAAUCGGGGCUGGGUGAGUCGACCCUAAGGCGAGGCCGAAAGGCGUAGUCGAUGGGAAAAUGGUUAAUAUUCCAUUACUUCUGUGUAAUGCGAUGAGAGGACGGAGAAGGCUAAAUCAGCCUGGCGUUGGUUGUCCAGGUGAAAGGAUGUAGGCAUGUAUCUUAGGCAAAUCCGGGGUACUCUAUGCUGAGAUCUGAUAGCAAGCUGUACUUGUACAGCGAAGUGGUUGAUGCCAUGCUUCCAGGAAAAGUCUCUAAGCUUCAGUUACACAGGAAUCGUACCCGAAACCGACACAGGUGGUCAGGUCGAGUAGACCAAGGCGCUUGAGAGAACUCUGCUGAAGGAACUAGGCAAAAUGGUACCGUAACUUCGGGAGAAGGUACGCUGUUGUUGGUGAUGGAACUCGCUUCCUGAGCUGACGACAGCCGCAGAAACCAGGCCGCUGCAACUGUUUAUUAAAAACAUAGCACUCUGCAAACACGAAAGUGGACGUAUAGGGUGUGAUGCCUGCCCGGUGCUGGAAGGUUAAUUGAUGGGGUUAGCGUAAGCGAAGCUCUUGAUCGAAGCCCCAGUAAACGGCGGCCGUAACUAUAACGGUCCUAAGGUAGCGAAAUUCCUUGUCGGGUAAGUUCCGACCUGCACGAAUGGCAUAAUGAUGGCGGCGCUGUCUCCAGCAGAGGCUCAGUGAAAUCGAAAUCGCUGUGAAGAUGCAGUGUACCCGCGGCUAGACGGAAAGACCCCGUGAACCUUUACUGCAGCUUGACACUGAACUUUGACCUUACUUGUGUAGGAUAGGUGGGAGGCUUUGAAGCUGGAACGCUAGUUCCAGUGGAGCCGUCCUUGAAAUACCACCCUGGUAAUGUUGAGGUUCUAACUCUGUCCCGUGAUCCGGGACGAGGACCGUGUCUGGUGGGUAGUUUGACUGGGGCGGUCUCCUCCUAAAGAGUAACGGAGGAGUACGAAGGUGCGCUCAGCGUGGUCGGAAAUCACGCGUAGAGUAUAAAGGCAAAAGCGCGCUUAACUGCGAGACCCACAAGUCGAGCAGGUACGAAAGUAGGUCUUAGUGAUCCGGUGGUUCUGUAUGGAAGGGCCAUCGCUCAACGGAUAAAAG
rnacentral:rRNA from 1 species